UGGGGAAUAUUGGACAAUGGGGGGAACCCUGAUCCAGCCAUGCCGCGUGUGUGAAGAAGGCCUUAUGGUUGUAAAGCACUUUAAGCGAGGAGGAGGGUACUGGUAUUAAUACUACCAGGUACUGGACGUUACUCGCAGAAUAAGCACCGGCUAACUCUGUGCCAGCAGCCGCGGUAAUACAGAGGGUGCGAGCGUUAAUCGGAUUUACUGGGCGUAAAGCGUGCGUAGGCGGCUAAUUGAGUCGGAUGUGAAAUCCCCGAGCUUAACUUGGGAAUUGCAUUCGAUACUGGUUAGCUAGAGUGUGGGAGAGGAUGGUAGAAUUCCAGGUGUAGCGGAGAAAUGCGUAGAGACCUGGAGGAAUACCGAUGGCGAAGGCAGCCAUCUGGCCUAACACUGACGCUGAGGUACGAAAGCAUGGGGAGCAAACAGG
rnacentral:rRNA from 1 species